rnacentral:rRNA from 1 species
CGAACGCUGGCGGCAGGCCUAACACAUGCAAGUCGAACGAACCUUUCGGGGUUAGUGGCGGCCGGGUGAGUAACACGUGGGAACGUGCCUUUAGGUUCGGAAUAACUCAGGGAAACUUGUGCUAAUACCGAAUGUGCCCUUCGGGGGAAAGAUUUAUCGCCUUUAGAGCGGCCCGCGUCUGAUUAGCUAGUUGGUUGAGGUAAUGGCUCACCAAGGCGACGAUCAGUAGCUGGUCUGAGAGGAUGAUCAGCCACAUUGGGACUGAGACACGGCCCAAACUCCUACGGGAGGCAGCAGUGGGGAAUCUUGCGCAAUGGGCGAAAGCCUGACGCAGCCAUGCCGCGUGAAUGAUGAAGGUCUUAGGAUUGUAAAAUUCUUUCACCGGGGACGAUAAUGACGGUACCCGGAGAAGAAGCCCCGGCUAACUUCGUG